CCUACGGGAGGCAGCAGUGGGGAAUAUUGGGCAAUGGAGGAAACUCUGACCCAGCGACGCCGCGUGCGGGAUGAAGGCCUUCGGGUUGUAAACCGCUUUCAGCAGGGAAGAAGCGAAAGUGACGGUACCUGCAGAAGAAGCACCGGCUAACUAUGUGCCAGCAGCCGCGGUAAUACAUAGGGUGCAAGCGUUGUCCGGAAUUAUUGGGCGUAAAGAGCUCGUAGGUGGUUCGUCACGUCGGAUGUGAAAAUCUGGGGCUUAACCCCAGACCUGCAUUCGAUACGGGCGAGCUUGAGUAUGGUAGGGGAGUCUGGAAUUCCUGGUGUAGCGGUGGAAUGCGCAGAUAUCAGGAGGAACACCAAUGGCGAAGGCAGGACUCUGGGCCAUUACUGACACUGAGGAGCGAAAGCGUGGGGAGCGAACAGGAUUAGAUACCCUGGUAGUCCACGCCGUAAACGGUGGGCACUAGUUGUGGGGACCUUCCACGGUCUCUGCGACGCAGCUAACGCAUUAAGUGCCCCGCCUGGGGAGUACGAUCGCAAGAAUUAAAACUNAAAUUGAAAUUGACGGCUUGNGAGNGCGAGACGACACGAGGAGAGG
rnacentral:rRNA from 1 species